UACGUAGGGGGCAAGCGUUGUCCGGAUUUAUUGGGCGUAAAGAGCGUGUAGGCGGCCAGGUAGGUCUGCUGUGAAAACUCGAGGCUCAACCUCGAGAUGUCGGCGGAAACCAUCUGGCUAGAGUCCGGAAGAGGAGAAUGGAAUUCCCGGUGUAGCGGUGAAAUGCGCAGAUAUCGGGAAGAACACCCGUGGCGAAGGCGGUUCUCUGGGACGGUACUGGACGCUGAGACGCGAAAGCGUGGGGAGCGAACAGG
rnacentral:rRNA from 1 species